rnacentral:rRNA from 1 species
UACGUAGGGCGCAAGCGUUAUCCGGAAUUAUUGGGCGUAAAGAGCUCGUAGGCGGUUUGUCGCGUCUGCCGUGAAAGUCCGGGGGCUCAACCCCCGGAUCUGCGGUGGGUACGGGCAGACUAGAGUGAUGUAGGGGAGACUGGAAUUCCUGGUGUAGCGGUGAAAUGCGCAGAUAUCAGGAGGAACACCGAUGGCGAAGGCAGGUCUCUGGGCAUUAACUGACGCUGAGGAGCGAAAGCAUGGGUAGCAAAACAGG